GUUGCCUACUCUCAGGCGUAACGGAAAUCUUUUGGCAUCAUCGGCAUCAACUUUUUUGUGAUUUCUGUUAAUUAAAUGUUAUUUAUUUGUAUAUUUUAAUUGAAUUUCGUGAUCUAAAUGAAUAAUUGUUAAUAUUUUUAUAGAAGUUUAUUUAAAUUGAGUAAUUUAAAAAGUGUUUUCAGUUUUAAAUGUGAUUAUUGAAAAAAAAAAUGUUGUGCACGUGGAAUUAUCGGAAUCUGAUUUUGCAAUUUUUCUUUCAUUAUUUAGUCUUAUCGUUUGUUUUUGUUGCAUAAAACUUGUUUCUAUCAUGAAUUGUUUAGAUGACAGUGUAAAAAAAGAAAUAUUAAUUCUUAAUGACGAUAAUAUUUCAGUUAUCUAACCUAUUAAAUACAUAUUUAUUCUCAACGAGUGUAUUAGUGCGCGUAUAUAAAUAAAUUUUUGGUUAUUUAACAUGUAAGCAAAAAAUUUAUAGAUAUCGAGUAUUUUUAUAAACUAUACAAAUAAUUUAUCUUUCUUUUUCAAAAAUUGGUUUUCAACGAUGUGAUGAUCAACGAUAAGGAAGCAAAAAUAAUGAAAAGUGGAAAUAUUUUGGAAAUAUCAAUGCUGCAAAUAUGACCUGGGCCUCGAUUUCCAUGUGACAAUUUUCCAUUGCUUUGCACAAGGUUGAACUCUGUCGACGAAGUUGGAUGAGCAAUAGGACCAAUUCCUCAUAAACAGUGCGGAUUUUUUUUAAAUUCAUUAAAUUUUUUGCAAUUUUACAUUAUACGGGAGUGUUCGAACUUAGUGAAAGUGACGGUCGUUUAAUAUAUAUAAUAUUUACUUUUUUCUUAUGCUCGCUGUGCAUGUCGUGUCGGAUUUAAAAAUUAUUAGCUUCGGGAGUGUUAAUUCUACAAUUUUUACAAAAUUCCGAAUAAAAUUUUCUUAGGAUGUUUAAAAUUCAUUUUCGUUGUUUGUCUUUCGUUACAUACAAGACAACUCGUAACGCGCGCGUCCGAAUUACAAUUUAAAAUCGCGUUCGUCUUUUUUCGCGAAUAUUCAAAGUUUAUUUUAA